GACACAGAGAGUCCUCAUCUUCUGGUUACCGUGGUAACGGUACCUGGCGCUGUGCUGCUCCUGUCGGUGUUGAUAUGUUGCGUCAUAGCGAUAUACAAGAAGAAAGUGGUCAAGGUCCGUUUAAGCUCAAAACAGCGCAGGAGAAAUUUAAAAGAUGAAAA